rnacentral:lncRNA from 1 species
UGACUGACCCUACUGAGUGAGAGAGGGAGAAAUGUGCCAAAGAAAUGAGGGAAGAGUUCUUGAAGAGGAAGAAAUGGAGGUUUAAAGAGAAGGUGUAUUUUUUGUAUAAUUUGGAGGUAUAUGAGACUUCUAUUUGACACUCAACUAAUCCUCUCCCACCAGGUCAAUCGGCCUAUUGGGAUAAAGUGGUAUCUCCAAUUGCCACUCAAUUCUCAAGCUAGUGAUCAAACCUUAGUCUCUGGUUUAAGGACACAAAUAUGGAACCACUUGUACCAAUCACUUUCGGUUGCUGAGAUACUCCAGAGUCAGAUUGAUUUGUGCCAGAGCAGUUGAUUUGAAUACGCACAAGUAAUUCAAGGAGAGGAAAUAUUUGAUAUACAACUGUUAUGAUAAAAUGUAAAUUAAAGAAGCCAUGUUAUCAUAACAGAAGGCAUGCCAAGGGUAUGGUUUUCGGGUUCUGAGAAGCACGUUGGCAACUGGCCGAAAUUAUAACAGUGAUAUUAGUUAGUUAACUAGUUAGUUAGCUAGUUUGAGAGAGUAGAUACUUACUGUAAUAUGGUAUAAGAGCAAAACAGAGAAAAUGUAGCACAAGAGAGGAGAAAAAUGUGUUAUUGAACUCUCAAUUCCUUUAAUAAUACAACUAUAGUAGCAAAUUGUAUAUGUAGUAAGACCAAAAAAAAAUAGUAUAUGUGGCAUAACUAACAGUAACAGAAAAGGUUCCAGCCUAACCGCCAAAAGUAACUAACUGGUUAACUAACUAAUGUAAUUAUGAUAGAAAUAAUUGCAUAUGUCUAACUUGGUAGAAAAUUGUGUAAGUUUUUCUAGAAGCACUUCUACAAGAAGAAAAUAAGAAGAAAAAAAUGAAAUGAGCUUCUCCAUUAGUUAAAAUAAGUUUUUCAUUAGUUAAUUUGUUAUCUCAUCUUUUAGAGAAGUUAUAUUGGUGAACUUCUAAAAAUUAACUCAUGAAGAAUUUAUUUUUGUUUAUGAAAAAGUUCAUCUCAUCUUUUUUCUUCUUAUUUUUUUCUUUUAGAAGUGCUUCUAAAGAAGCUUACCCAAAGAGGUGUGUAGGCGUGAUGUUAGAUGCUGGGAUCCUGAGGCAUUGUCGUUAACCUCCUGUCAGAAACAAAUUGAUUUAUAUUGAUUGGCAGCAGAAAAUGUAUGUUUUUUUACCUCUUGUUGUUCACUGCAUUUUAGGCAUGGCUGAUGACUGUUACUGGUUUUUAGACUCACAUCAUAAUCUUUGUUGUUCCUUGUCCCCAACUACCUCCACAUGGCUCUGUUAUUACUCUGAGGACACGUAUUAGCAUCAUCAUUACCAGCACUAUUGCUGAGUUGGCUGCUAUCAAGCAAAGGCUUGUUCAUGACACAGAUUAUGGUGACAGCAACGUAAUCCGUGAGAAUAUCGACUUAGAUUCUCUUCCUAACAGGAGCAGGUAUAUGAAAAUCUCUCUUACUUUGAUAGUUUGAUGGAAGAAACCACUAAAUAUUUCUAUGCAAAAAAUUGGUGCUUCUGAUUAACAAUACUAAAUUUUUGGCAACAAACUUUUGAAAUAUCUCAUAGCCUUUUGGUUUGUCGGUGUAGAUCUUGCUUUAGGCUAAAAGAAAUUCACUUUGGGAUGUUCAUCUACAGCAAGAUUGUCAAACAUACUAAAAUGACCAGAUGGGUCAUGGGGCAUAGAUAUAAUUGGUUGUUGGAAAAUGUCCCUUUUAAUU